rnacentral:tRNA from 1 species
GGGCUGGGGCUCAGUGGUAGUGCACUCACCUGGCACACGAGAGGCGCUGGGUUCGAUCCUCAGCACCACA